rnacentral:rRNA from 1 species
CAGCCGCCGCGGUAAUACGUAGGUGGCAAGCGUUGUCCGGAAUUAUUGGGCGUAAAGGGCUCGCAGGCGGUUUCUUAAGUCUGAUGUGAAAGCCCCCGGGCUCAACCGGGGAGGGUCAUUGGAAACUGGGAAACUUGAGUGCAGAAGAGGAGAGUGGAAUUCCACGUGUAGCGGUGAAAUGCGUAGAGAUGUGGAGGAACACCAGUGGCGAAGGCGACUCUCUGGUCUGUAACUGACGCUGAGGAGCGAAAGCGUGGGGAGCGAACAGGAUUAGAUACCCGCGUAGUCCCUGUCUCUUAUU